UACGGAGGGUGCGAGCGUUGCUCGGAAUCACUGGGCGUAAAGGGUGCGUAGGCGGGGCUUUAAGUCAGGGGUGAAAUCCUGGAGCUCAACUCCAGAACUGCCUUUGAUACUGAAGAUCUUGAGUUCGGGAGAGGUGAGUGGAACUGCGAGUGUAGAGGUGAAAUUCGUAGAUAUUCGCAAGAACACCAGUGGCGAAGGCGGCUCACUGGCCCGAUACUGACGCUGAGGCACGAAAGCGUGGGGAGCAAACAGG
rnacentral:rRNA from 1 species